CUCCCACUCUCUGCGAGGCAAGUAAGAGGCACUGCUAGGCAUUUGGUGGCCCCUAGCAGUACUACAGCUUUUCUUCCUCUGUGUUCUUCAGCUAGCUUUUAGUUUUCUCCAGCAUGUCCUUAAAAACCUUCUGGACCUGAGAUAUACAGAAGAAGUUAGAUAUUCUUGAUUUACUGGGUUCUGAGCAACAAAGAGUUAUGAAAUAAGUAUGGCUGCUGGGCAAAAGCCUCGACUGCUCUGGAGCUGAAAUGAAAUAGAGAAAGUACCUUUGUGCUCCCUCUGGUAAUGAAUUCUAUGCCUAUUCCUCAGGACCAGACCUUUUAUCUGCACAGAAGCCUGAGGUAGUAGGAGAUGCUCCAUACACAGCUGUUAGGAAGACCAGAAUGUCAGGCUUCACAUUCCCUGUGCAUGGAUCAAGGACCACAACGAUUUGGUAGCAGCCCUGGCCCUGAUUCUACUCGUAGAUCCCGCCGUGUGCGAUGGGACCCGCCGGCCCCGAUUCCGCCCGCAGAGCGCCCGGCGCUGUCCGUGGUGCUGAAGGCACCGCUCCUAGGAGAGAGCGAGCAAGCAGAGCGUACCUACUGGUAUUUAUCGUGUUAUUGUUAUCGCUGUUAUUAUUUGCAAUUGUAUCACCAUUAUAACUACAUUAAUUCCCCGCAAAUCAGUGUUGAAAUCUUCCCGGAUGAAAGUAAAAAUGUUUUCCUAAGAAUUUCGGGUGUAGCCCAAGUUUUCAUAGUGAAGAUCAUCGUGGCAGCUUCACACUCCUGUGUUAGCGAGUCUUUCUCGCCCUUGUUUGUCACCUGAAAAUUCAGGGCUGCUUAUCAAUAAUGCUCUGUGUGUCAUGCUGCUGCAAAGCAUUCCAAUCGAUAUAUUAUAAUUUCAGAGCUUAUUAGGAAGGUGAAGGGCGUUAUCAAGGACAUCCGGAAAUUCUGAUCAGUGUUCUGCAAUCUCUGAUCAGCGUCAGUGCUUUACAAGCAUAGUCUGUAGAAUGGAAUAAAAUUAAAAUCUCUAGCUCGAGAGGCA
rnacentral:lncRNA from 1 species